rnacentral:rRNA from 1 species
UGGGGAAUUUUGGACAAUGGGGGAAACCCUGAUCCAGCCAUCCCGCGUGUGCGAUGAAGGCCUUCGGGUUGUAAAGCACUUUUGGCAGGAAAGAAACGUCAUGGGUUAAUACCCCGUGAAACUGACGGUACCUGCAGAAUAAGCACCGGCUAACUACGUGCCAGCAGCCGCGGUAAUACGUAGGGUGCAAGCGUUAAUCGGAAUUACUGGGCGUAAAGCGUGCGCAGGCGGUUCGGAAAGAAAGAUGUGAAAUCCCAGAGCUCAACUUUGGAACUGCAUUUUUAACUACCGGGCUAGAGUGUGUCAGAGGGAGGUGGAAUUACGCGUGUAGCAGUGAAAUGCGUAGAUAUGCGGAGGAACACCGAUGGCGAAGGCAGCAUCCUGGGAUAACACUGACGCUCAUGCACGAAAGCGUGGGGAGCAAACAGG